AUUAUAUUUACUAUCCGGUAUAAAAACAGCUGGGAAGACAGGGAAUAUCAGAACCAGUUUGGGCAAGUGAGAGAAAACUUGAAUAAUAAAAACCAAAUUGAAAAUCAAUUCGAAUCAUCGGGACUAAAAUGCACCAAUCAACUAAAAUUGUCUUCCUGUGCGUGAUCGUCCUGGUGGGGGUCGUCUCGGUAACGGAGGGGCAGGUGGGGAGUUCGGGAUGCAGCAGGAAGUGGGCGCCUGCAGGAUGGUGUUGGCGCUACUGUUCGGGAUCGUCGGGGAAUUGGUGCUACACGGGGCGACAGGGGCCAUGUGAGACUGCGACUUGUGUUGGUGGAUCCUGUUCCGGGAUCAGCUGUCGCGGCGCGGCGGCGGGGUGUGUUGGGCACUGUUGAUAAAGGGUGCCAUUUAUGUGAAUGCUUGUUGACGACCGAUAAUCAAAUUUAAUUUUAAACUGUAAUAAAUACAUAUUGAUUUAUGGUAUCAUAUAUAAAUAUUUUGGAACGAUCACAUUUUUAUUGACCGUUUUAUUGACCGUUUGGUGACCGUAUAAUGAACUAUAGACGUACAUGAGUGUUUUCUCCAAGCUAAUUUAACACAAAGUUUGAAACUUCCACGACCAAAAGUAAAAAUUGCAUUAUAUUUUAAUUUCGUGCCCAAAAUAUAAUAAUGCAGCCUUAUGUAGAUAUUAUAUAAAAAGUGAACCUGUUGUCGCGUUAUAUAUGAUUUUUGUGAGGUGGGGUGAGAUUUGGGUAGGAACGUCAAAUAUGUAAACACGUAGCCGUCAGUUCCAUUAUUUAAUUUGCUAUGUCUGCCUGUAAAUUAUUUUUCCUCUCCAAACUUGUUAACCUUCAAAUAUGACCUGUAAUUGUGUGUGUGCGUGUCCACCUUGUGAUUGGUGUAUUUAAUUUAGAGUCGGCCCCUCAGGCCGACUCUCCUAAUAAUAAUUGUGCAAAGCUUUCAACAUUCUCUUUUGUGUGCUCGAGGAGGAACAUUCGGCCGUCACAAUCUAAAUUAGAGAAUCACCCAUUGUAACAAUAAUUUGAAACUGUGACCAUUAAACCCUAAAUUUGUGCAAAUUA